GUGCCAGCAGCCGCGGUAAUACCGGCAGCCCAAGUGAUGGCCACUCUUAUUGGGCCUAAAGCGUCCGUAGCCGGCCACGCAAGUCCGUCGGGAAAUCCAGUAGCUCAACUACUGGGCGUCCGGCGGAAACUGUUCGGCUUGGGGCCGGAGGACCCGAGGGGUACGUCCGGGGUAGGAGUGAAAUCCUGUAAUCCUGGACGGACCGCCGAUGGCGAAAGCACGUUGGGAAGACGAAUCCGACAGUGAGGGACGAAAGCUAGGGUCUCGAACCGGAUUAGAUACCCUGGUAGUCC
rnacentral:rRNA from 1 species